GAUGAACGCUGGCGGCGUGCCUAACACAUGCAUGUCGAGCGAAGCGCUUAAAUUAGAUUUCUUCGGAAUGACGAUUUUUGUGACUGAGCGGCGGACGGGUGAGUAACGCGUGGGUAACCUGCCUCAUACAGGGGGAUAACAGUUAGAAAUGACUGCUAAUACCGCAUAAGACCCCAGCUUCGCAUGAAGCGGUGGUAAAAACUCCGGUGGUAUGAGAUGGACCCGCGUCUGAGUAGCUAGUUGGUAAGGUAACGGCUUACCAAGGCGACGAUGAGUAGCCGACCUGAGAGGGUGACCGGCCACAUUGGGAAUGAGACACGGCCGAGACUCCUACGGGAGGCAGCAGUGGGGAAUAUUGCACAAUGGGGGAAAAACUGAUGCAGCGACGCCGCGUGAAGGAUGAAGUAUUACGGUAUGUAAACUUCUAUCAGCAGGGAAGAAAGUGACGGUACCUGACUAAGAAGCCCCGGCUAACUACGUG
rnacentral:rRNA from 1 species